AUGGUUACUAUUCCGGCCUAAACAACUCCCCCUUGGUAAUGGAGAGGUCGACAGUUCAAUCCUGUCUGGCAGCACCA
rnacentral:tRNA from 1 species